GGGGAAUAUUGGGCAAUGGAGGAAACUCUGACCCAGCAACGCCGCGUGGAGGAAGAAGGUUUUCGGAUCGUAAACUCCUGUCCUUGGAGACGAGUAGAAGACGGUAUCCAAGGAGGAAGCCCCGGCUAACUACGUGCCAGCAGCCGCGGUAAUACGUAGGGGGCAAGCGUUGUCCGGAAUAAUUGGGCGUAAAGGGCGCGUAGGCGGCUCGGUAAGUCUGGAGUGAAAGUCCUGCUUUUAAGGUGGGAAUUGCUUUGGAUACUGUCGGGCUUGAGUGCAGGAGAGGUUAGUGGAAUUCCCAGUGUAGCGGUGAAAUGCGUAGAGAUUGGGAGGAACACCAGUGGCGAAGGCGACUAACUGGACUGUAACUGACGCUGAGGCGCGAAAGUGUGGGGAGCAAACAGGAUUAGAUACCCUGGUAGUCCACACUGUAAACGAUGAAUGCUAGGUGUAGGGGGUAUCGACCCCUUCUGUGCCGCAGUCAACACAAUAAGCAUUCCGCCUGGGGAGUACGGCCGCAAGGUUGAAACUCAAAGGAAUUGACGGGGGCCCGCACAAGCAGCGGAGCAUGUGGUUUAAUUCGACGCAACGCGAAGAACCUUACCAGGUCUUGACAUCCACUUAAACUUACAGAGAUGUAAGGUGUGCUUGCACAAAGUGAGACAGGUGGUGCAUGGUUGUCGUCAGCUCGUGUCGUGAGAUGUUGGGUUAAGUCCCGCAACGAGCGCAACCCUUAUCUUCAGUUACUAACGCGUAAAGGUGAGGACUCUGAAGAGACUGCCGGGGACAACUCGGAGGAAGGUGGGGACGACGUCAAAUCAUCAUGCCCCUUAUGACCUGGGCUACACACGUGCUACAAUGGCCACGACAGAGAGAAGCGAAAUCGUAAGGUAGAGCGGAACUCAAAAAAGUGGUCCCAGUUCGGAUUGUGGGCUGCAACCCGCCCACAUGAAGUCGGAGUUGCUAGUAAUCGCGGAUCAGCAUGCCGCGGUGAAUACGUUCCCG
rnacentral:rRNA from 1 species